UUGAGAGCGCGCACAGAAGAGAAAGUUUCGGCUAUCCUGUCUAAAUCAGACAUGAACCAACGGCAGAAGAAAAGUAAAAUGUACCUUGGAUUUGGAGACUGGCCGGACCUUUUCAUCUUGAGGGGCCUGCCCGGAUCAAAAAAGAGUCAAUUAGCACGGGAAAUCCAUGCGCUAUAUGGUUAUACAGGAGUAAUAUUGAGCACGGAUGAUUUUUUCAUUAAGAACCGUAAAUAUAACUUUGACUACAGCCAGCUGGGAGAAGCACAUGCGUGGAAUCAGGACAGAGCGUGGGACGCCAUUGACGAUAACAAAAAUCCAAUCAUCAUCGAUAACACCAACAUGAGUUUCUGUGAUAUGAGGCCUUACGUUGAAAUGG